UGAAAAGUUACAAAAUCUGUAAUUGUAAAAUUUUAGUUCACUGCCCCAAUGCGUUUUAGUCGUCUAAGAUAAUAAGCCCCGAAACAAAUUUCAUUAUGUGAUAUUUUUGUGAAUGCAAAGAAUUCACUAUGUGGAUAUUGAUACGUUCUGGAUUUUGUUUUGGCCUUUGAUCGUAACAUAACUAAAAUACAAAAGUCAAUAAAAACGAAAACACUCUUAAUGAAAAACAAACAUCGUCAUUUAACUGAAUACAACGUGAAAUUACUAGAACUAAACAGAGGAAAGCUUCACAUAAAGGCGAAAAUUCAAUGCGUUAAUUUUGCUUGUUCGAUAGGCGCGUAAAUAAACUUUGGCUAUUAACACGUCAAAAUUGCUGCUUAACGAGAAGGGAGGGCAAUGAAUGAAGAUUAAACAAGACGAUACGCAAACCAGCUAACCUUCUCAAUUACUUUAUGGAAUUAGUUUCAGAGGAAGUGUUUCCAAACAUCGCGGGCUUGACUAAUAUCUGGGUGCAGAUUGCAUAGUCUAUUAUACAAUGAAACUUCUGUAAGUAAACGAGAAACGAUUGCUUUAUUUAUUUCGUAAUAAAUCUCGUUCAGUAGCAUACCGAAGCGCUACACCGGUACCGGCAAUUAUACUUGAGAAACUGAGUGGAUGAAUAGCGCAACACUUCUUGAAAACGGUACUUUUCAACAGCUUCAUUUAUGUAUUUUCCUUAAGGCACAAAACUUAAACAAAUAAAACAUGCAAAUAUAGCC